GGAGGAAUGUACAUCGRCUCCCGUACGAAUAAAGUUCUAGWUAAGWUAUGAUAAUGACAUUUCUUAACUAUGUGUCUUGACCAAAUCACGUGCCACCAGUCGCGGUAAUACGUGGAAGGCAAGCGUUAUUCAUCUUUAGCAGGUUUAAAGGGUACCUAGACGGUAAAUCAAGCCCCAAAAGGGUACUAAUUUACUAGAGUUUAAUAAGAGAGGGGGAGUACUGAUGAGUGGAGAGAUGAAAUUCAAUGAUACCAUUAGGAACAGACAAAGGCGAAAGCGACCUUUUACAUAAAAACUGACGUUGAGGGACGAAGGCUUUAGUCGUGAACAGGAUUAGAUACCCAAGUAAUUAAAGCAGACAAUGAUGAAUGUCAUAGAUUAGUAAGCAUUUACUUUUAAUAUAUAAAUUAGUAAGCGCUUUAUUUGAAUAUAUCCAUUAAAGUGUAAGCAUUUACUAUUAAUCUAUAAAUGAAAGUGUAAGCAUUCCACCUCAAGAGUAAUGUGGCAACGCAGAAACUGAAAUCAUUAGACCGUUUCUGAAACCAGUAGUGAAGUAUGUUGUUUAAUUAGAUGAUCCGCAAAAGACCUCACCACMAUUUGUAUAWUAUUAUUUUUUUUAAUAAUACAAGCGUUGCGCGGCUGUCUUCAGUUAAUGUCGUGAGAUCAGGUUAGUUCCAUUAAAUUAACGUAAACCCUUGCUUUAUUUAUAUUAUAAAGUAGAUCACCGMUAUAUUGGAUGUGAUAAUAGGGACUACAGACAAGUCAUCMGGCCUGAAUAGUGUGGGCGAUAGACGUGCCACACAUCGGAUACGAAGGGAUGCAAAAUU
rnacentral:rRNA from 1 species